rnacentral:sRNA from 1 species
CACCGGUUUGAAUGGCAGUACCCAUCAUGAAGACGACACACCAAGCGGAAAUGGAGUACUGAAUGAUACACAGAGGACCGGCCAUGACGGCACCGACAAAAGCAGCAAGUUCAAGAAUAGAGGUCAAGAGACCCUUGGUGUCGGGGUUUGUCAACUGUAGGAGGACGUGUUAGCAAAUGCGGUGAAGAAGGAGCUUGCCAAAUCUUACAGUAGCGGUGUAUCGCUGCUCAAAAUUGUACAUGACUUGGACUUGACCGAAAACACCCUGUUAAUGCAGGACAUAAGCAAAUGGCAGGCAAUUGAGAAAUGCACAGUAUAAUAUACCUGAUU